GUCAAACACUUUCGAUGAAGGAUCGGCUCGGCCACGUUUGAUCGUAUUGCUUUGAAAACAUGUUAACGUCUCGUCCGAUUGUAUUUAAUCUUGUUGGAUUUAUUGGAUAGAAUUCAGGACAACGAUCGAUGACACACGAAAGCGUCGACUUUAUCGUUUAAGCAAAAUUAAUAGCUUCAUUGCGGAAGAGAGAUGUAAAGAGGAAACCAUCCCCCACCAUCACCCCCACACUCCCCAUGAACAUCUACCUCUUCUCGUUGGAAUUGCAAAUGAUAUUUUGUUAGAAAAGGAAAAAGAGAAAAAAGAAAAUUUAAAAGAGUGAUAGAUCGAGGUUGUCUGGCGUGGUUAUCGAUUGCACGAUCUCGGAAGGAACGAUUUACGAAUUGUUAGGUAAAUCGACGUGUUAUCAAUACUGUAUACAAAGUAAUACGAUAUAUGUAUGUCCAACGGAGCUUACAUCCGGUUUUGGAAUCAAAGCUAUUGUAAUUCCUAUGAACGAAAAUAGAAAUCGUGUUAAUCGUUUGACUAUGUGUAAUCGAAAUAGGAUAUGGAUUAUACUUGAUGUUUACAUUCAGAUAGUUACAAUGAAUAUUGGCUAUUGCACGAAUAGUAAUAGGAUAUAUCGACGAAAUUAAUUAAUCUUUUUUACUCGUAAAACGUUUUCUAAUCGUAAAAUCUUUCGUGUAUCGGCAUACAUAAAUAAUAAUUGUUUGUACGAAUAUAUUCUCAAAAUUAUGUCUUCUAUAAUAUAAAAUUAUCGAGAUAAAUAUUAAAUUUAUUUAUUUAUUUAUUUAUUUAUUUAUUUAUUUAUCUAUAAAAUAGAAUCGUUUAUAGAAUAUUGUCUUUAUCACGAAUAAGAUAAUAAUUCCUGAGAAACCUCCUACGAGAAAUGGUACCUUGAAAAACAUUGAUGUUUGUCCUUUGGGUGUACUCACUUUGUCAGUGUGUUCUUCUCCACUAUGCGAUUUACCUUCGUGACACAGGUGAAUUCCAAGUGGUGAAGUCAGCACCACAGAGUCACGGAAGAUUAAGCUUUCGAAAGCACCGAAAGGUCUAUCGUGCGGAAGCUGUAAUCGCCCUAAAAGAGACGGAAAAGGAUUGAAGCAUACCGAGGUCAAGUGUCUUUUGGAUUAAAAGAACUUGUCCUAUGCUUCCUUUUAAAGGGAGCACCGCGAAAGGAAAAAGAGAGCGAGAGAGAAAGAGAGAGAGAGAGAGAGAAAGGAAGGGAAAUAAAAAAAUAAAUAUGCAAAUAAAAAAUCGUUUUUUUUAACACGACAUGUAAUAUUAUACCUAAAUAAAAAUACAUUUGCACUUUCAAUCUACGAAAUUGCUUUCCUUUGAAUAAAAAAAAUAACAAUUGCAUUCGUGUUACAACAAGAGAGAGAGAGAGAGAGAGAGAGAGAGAGAGAGAUGAAACGUUUUGGAUAGUAGACUUUUCCUGCUUCUUUUUUUCUUCUUUUUCUUUUUCUUUUUUUCUUUUUUUUUUUUUUGUUCUUCUGUUUUUUUCGAAAAAAUACUCGCGAUUUCGUGGCUCUCGAAUCUUCACAAAUUGUGACUUCGUUCCUCUGACGACUUUCACAUCGCUGAACUUCGAAGCUCGUAAACAACGAGUUUUAAUUUGCUUCGUUCGUCCACCAUUUCGACUUCUCUCGUCGGAUUAAAUACGACCAUUUUCUACUUGUUCACAAUAUGGUAUCGAAAUUCUCGUUUUUUCGAAUGUUAACAUUAUCGGGUCAUUGGAUUUUUUUCCAAAUUAAAACUUUUAUCUCUUUCGUUUCUCGCGAUACGAUGAUAGAAGAUAGAAGCUACGUAAAGGAAAAGGCGGGAAAAAAAAAGAAAAAGAAUGAAAAAAAAAAAAAAAGAAAAAAUAAAAGAAAAAAAGAAAUAAGAAAUAAGAGAAAAGUGAUAUGCAACAAUAAAAAAACAAAAAAAAAAAAAAUAACGAUUCGAAUUCAUUUCAGGCUUAUCUCAUUGAAAAAAAAGAAAUGUAUUAACUGAUGUAUUAAUCCCUUUUAAUAGGAAAAACUUCGAUAGAUUCGUGAUGUUUCGUUUCUUUCGUUAUCGUUAUCAUUUCGAAUAACGAUACCAACCAUUAUCAUAGAAUUUUUCUAUCGAUUAUCCUUUUAAUCGAUAACACAUCAUUCCGUUGUCUAUCGAAUUUAUUACGAAAAUAAAAGUCGUUUAUUUUUUAACAAUCAAUCACGCCAACGAAAAGAAGGAUAGAAUGGGGGAAAAAAAGAAACAAAAAAGAAGAAAAAAAAAAACAAACAAACAAACAAAAAUUGGAAACUUUCUAACUCUUACUUAUCGUGAAUUUCAUUGAACGUCGUAAGUUUUCGUUCUAACAGUCAACGAUCCCAUUUACGUGAGAGCGUUCUAUCUCAUACUCCUUAGAAAAUUGGUUUCAAUUAAACUGAUAAGUUAGUUCGAGAAAAGUUAUCAGAAUCGUCCGUGCAUCUCGCGAGAGAGUCUCUUUGCAGUAAUGAGCGAACGAUUCAGCUAGCGCUAAUGCAUUCUUCCCUCCCCCCCUCCCUCCCUCCCUUCCUCCCUCCUCAUUCCUGUGAAUAAAACAAAAGCUUUAGAUAUUCGUCCAGAGCUAUCUUUUAUUGGAUUAUGCAAAAAAGGAUUUUCUCACGUAGUUACGACGUUGAAAUGUGAUUUUAUUCGUUUAAACAGUGAAAUUUGUACAAUUUGAUCUUACUCCAUUUCUCUUAUUGUCGUAAGAUUCCUGAUUUUUCUUUAAAUUCGUUUUUCUUCCUCUUUCUCUCUCUCUCUCUCUCUCUCUCUCUCUCUCUCUCUCUCUCUCUGUUUUCUUUCUUUCUUUUUUCCUACCUUUGGCUCGCGAAAAAAAAUGUUCACAUCGAAAAUUCGGUCCUCGUUCUUAAUAAAAGGAAAAGAAAAAGGAAAAAAGAAAAGGAAAAGAAAAAAAAGAAAAUGAGGUCGAAUUUGUAAAAUCGAUUAUACUCGUAAGAAAGGAAUAAAGAUCCCUUAGAGAAAAAUUAAAGCGUAAAGCUCCUUACGGGAGCUUGGACUUUCACGUGUGAGUGCAUCUUCCACCUCCUUGAUUGUAUAGGUCGUAGCAUAAACUUGAAAUCUCCAUAUUGUCGUCGCCAACCAUUUCGUAUGAGCGCCCUCUCAUGUAAAUCCAUAUGGAACUUUAUACGCGUUUACGCGUAUCGCGCGAAAACAGAUUUUCCGGUCACCGAACGAAUCCUGGAUCUUGUUUCGUAAGGCUCCUAAGUACAAACUUCCCAUUUCUUCCACUUUGAGAAAGGACGCGUGGAAAUCUUCUUAGGGAAUAAGCUGGAUAAGUGGACGAUGAAAUUGGAAGGGUCAUCGUUCCGAAGUAAAUCGCGUUUAGGUUGCGUCUAAGGACGAUAGUCCCAAGUAGAAUCGAUAUUGAAAAUGAAAAAUAUUUCGAAAGUGAAAAUCGAACGUUAACGUUCGAUUUUCGAUAUUAAAGUCAAUCGAUAUAUAUUUUUUUCUCUUCUAUAAUAGAUAACUAUGGAAUUUAUUUUUAUAUUUUUUUUUAUCUCUGAAAAUCUAUCUAAUGUACGAUUUUUAAGCGUUUUAUUAUCGUCACUUUAAUAUAAUACUAUUCAUCGAAUAAUUCGAUUUUUAUACGAUUUAUCGUUAUACUUAUUUAACUGUUCAUUUAUUCACACAUGUAAAAGAGAUUUUUAAUUUUUCUCGAAUAUUAUCUCAAAAAAAAAAAAAAAAAACAAAAAAGAAAAAAAAUAAGGAAAGAAAAGGAAAGAAUGUCAUAAAAUAAUUCUUUAUAAUAUCUAAAAAAAUUCAAUAGACAGUGGUUAACGAUGAUUUACACGAUGAUAAAUUUACAUCGAGCAUAAACAAAUUCAACAAAAGCUAAUUUUGAUUUGAUUGGAUAUUCAUUUAACGUUUAAUAUCACAAAACAUGAAGAAACGAAAAAUUUCUCUUUACGAUUCUUAAGGUUUACAUUUACAGUUGGCGCGAUGUAAACGAAACAAUGAUGACGUUGGAACAACUAGAGCGGAAAACCGAAUACUUCUAGGACGUAUCUCGUUGUUCACGAUUUAGGUCAUUAAAUAGCUGUUUCGUUACUCUCAGGAUACUUUAGAUAGCGCGUCCUACUUCCUGCUAUCCUGCGAGACCACCGCAUCGUGAAGUAUAAUUAAUCAAAAAACGCUUGGCGCGGAAUCGCAGCUUUGCGUACGUAUAUGUGUAUUUAGUUUUCUAUAUUCAUCUAUGUAGGUGAGUUUGGUUAGUCGAGUAUGUGAAACGUGAAUGAUGGAUUCGGUAAAUGCGACGAGAUAUGACGUUGACUUUGUAAUAAUUUAAGUAUCGAACGUUUUUUUCCCUUUCUCUUUCUUCCUUUCUUUCUAUCUUUCUCUUUUUCUCGCCCAUUUCUCUCCCAUAUUUUUUUAUUUUAAAAUCAUACGACAAGUAUGAAAGGACAUAUAAGAGAAAAAUAAAAGAUAAUGAAAAAUCACAAUUUGUUCGUAUCGUAUUUUACAAAAGUACAACCGCAACGUUGCGAUUGGACUUUCACCUCUCCCUCUCCUACCUAUCCUCGUUCCUCGUUCGAAGAAAAAAAAGAAAAAAAAGAAAAAAAAACCUUAAGAAAUAUGGAACGAUUACAUAUUACAAAAAUUAAUUUGCAUAAUUAAUUUCUAUAUCUUGUAAUAAAAAAAAGAAAAAAAAACCAACAGAAAAAUAUUUUACGUAACAUGUGAAAAUUAAAUUAAAGAUUAUUUUAUUUACAGCAUGUAAAUGAUACAUAUAUAUAUCUUUAAUAAGAGAUUCAUUGAAAACAUCGUACUAUUAUGUUUUUCAUAAGUUCCAUUCAAUUCAAGAUUGACUUUGUCAAGGUUAGCAAUAUUCUAUAACCUUUAUAUACAUAAUAUAAACAAAGUCUGGAUAGUUUAGACGACCGAUUAGAAAUAUGAAAGUCGAACGUCGUCAGUCUAUUGCUUAUCUUCGUAGUGAAUGUCACGCGUCACAUAUUCUCCCGGUUUACAUUCGUCGCUUGAACAUAAUCAAGAUCAUAGUGUUUCAUCGACCACGUUACAUACGCUAGACUGCUCGAGAAGUAAUACUAUUAAAUCUAUAUAGUACACCAUAAAUCUAAAACCAUAAAACUUAUAUCGAUUAUUAUUGUAUAUUAUAUAUAUAUAUAUAUACAGUUUCUUUUUUUUUUGUGUAAAUUGUUAUUUCUAAGACCGUUUGAAAGUAUUGGUCGUAUGAUUCUCUAGACUUAUAUAUAUUUUUCUCUUAUAUGACAUAUCCCAUCAUGCGGUCAACGAUUACUUCUACAACUAUUAAUAUCGUAGUAUUGAGCUUGAAACGAUGGUCAAGGAUCAAGUAUGAAGAAAUAAGGUCCAUUUCUUCAACCCCCCACCCCCACCUCCGCCCCCACCACUUUUCAUCGUUCGAAAAAUAUCGAGAGAAAAAUGAAGGAAAAGAAUGCAACAUCUCGGGAAAGCUCAACACUCGGUUCCACGGUUGGGUCAACAGGCCGUCGAAAGGAUAUAAUCGAGAGCAGAGAGUAGAACACUUCGCUUUCGACUUUACUUUCGAUUCCAUUAUUCCUUUGGAUAUCCAGAGAAAACGGAUUGGUAGUUGAGAGUAGUUGUAGUAGCAGUAAUAGUAGCAGUAGUAGCAAUAGUCGAACUCAAAGUCGCGUCUUUCCCUUAUUCAUGCGGAUUAUCGGAUACUUCCUCUUUUCCUGGAGCCUAGUAACUAUGGAUUUGUUCAGCCUUUUUGGUUAUAUAACUGGACUACGAGUUGAUACUCUCUCUCUUUCUCUCUCUCUCUCUCUCUCUCUAUCUCUCCUAGGUUUCCUAAGAAGUUAAUACCAAAAUCUUUUCGUUACUACUGAUUCAAACGAACUACAUUUUCCACCGUAGAUUUUGUCCUGGAAAAGCUGAAAUUCGACGACGAAUGAGCGAGAAAAAGAGAAAAAAGAGAGAGAGAGAAAGAAAGAGAGAGAGAGAGAGAGAGAGAGAGAGAAUGACUUCUAUAUCUUGACCUCGGUUUUGCCAGGUUUCACCAGUUUCUCUGGUGGCAAUGCCAUCGGAAAACUCGAUUUCGAGUGCUCUUCCUCGAGGAACCCCUCUGGCUAUUCCCUCUUCCUCUUUCACUAUCCACUUCUAUCUCUACCUACCUAUAUAUCUAUCUGCCUA